rnacentral:tRNA from 1 species
GAGGGUAUAGUUCAGUGGUAGAUUGCUUGCCUAGCAUGCAUACGGUCCUAGGUUCAAUCCUCAGUACCUCCA